AGAGGGUCCGGGAGCAGGAUGCAGUCGGCGGGGGCGUGGAGCGGCCGCUUUUCCGCCUGAGCGUAGAGUCGGUUCUCCACCGAGACGAAGCUGCUGCGCGUGGAGGCCAGCGGGGGUGCCCAGGGGCCGGGGCUCUGGGACCCCUAGUGACCUCUGUAUCUUCACCUUGGUCUUCCCACUUGGCUCCCAGACCCCACAGAAAAGGCUCCUCUUGGGAACUGCUCCACUGAAUACAGAAACCACUAGACCGGCUGGAUGACUCUGUCCAGCCUGGGACACCACACAGCGAGAACUUGAGAUUACGGCAGAUGCCCAGGAGGGGAAGAACUGAAGUCAUGUCUAAAAGGAGAGGCUGAAGAGUUCCUUAAAAAGGAAGCAGUCACAGCAGAAAAG